ACUACGAGCUUAGCUUAAAACCCAAAGGACUUGACGGUACCCCAUAUCCCCCUAGAGGAGCCUGUUCUAUAAUCGAUAAUCCACGUUUAACCUCACCAUUUUUAGUUAUUCAGCCUGUAUACCUCCGUCGUCAGCUUACCACGUGAGCGCCAAUUAGUGAGCUUAAUGUUUAUUCACCAACACGUCAGGUCAAGCUGCAGCAAAUGAAAUGGAAAGAGAUGGGCUACACUUUCUAAAUUAGAAGAAACGAAAAACUAUUUAUGAAACCUAGUUAGAAGGCGGAUUUAGCAGUAAAAAGGAAUCAGCACAUCCAUUUUAACCCGGCACUGGGGUGUGUACACACCGCCCGUCACCCUCUUCAAAGCUAUCAGCCUAGUCCUUAACAAACUAAAGCUCGACAGAAGAGGCAAGUCGUAACAUGGUAA
rnacentral:rRNA from 1 species